rnacentral:rRNA from 1 species
AACGCGAAGAACCUUACCUACCCUUGACAUCCUUGGAACCAUAUAGAGAUAUGUGGGUGCCCGCGAGGGAACCAAGAGACAGGUGCUGCAUGGCUGUCGUCAGCUCGUGUCGUGAGAUGUUGGGUUAAGUCCCGUAACGAGCGCAACCCCUAUCUUUAGUUGCUAACGGGUAAAGCUGAGAACUCUAAAGAGACUGCCGGUGAUAAGCCGGAGGAAGGUGGGGAUGACGUCAAGUCCUCAUGGCCCUUACGGGUAGGGCCACACACGUGCUACAAUGGGCGGUACAGAGGGAAGCGAAGCCGCGAGGUGAAGCGAAUCCCAGAAAGCCGCUCGUAGUCCGGAUUGGAGUCUGAAACUCGACUCCAUGAAGUUGGAAUCGCUAGUAAUCGCGGAUCAGAACGCCGCGGUGAAUACGUUCCCGGGCCUUGUACACACCGGUACUA